AUGAGCGCUGACAGAAUGCUUAACACAUGCAAGUCGAUGGGGAAGUGGUGCUUGCACCAUGGCAACCAUGGCGGACGGGUGAGUAACGCGUAAGGGACUUACCUGCAGGACUGGGAUAACAGGGGGAAACUCCUGACAAGACCGGAUAAUGUCAUGGAGCUGCAUGGCUUUAUGAUGAAAGGAGACGCCUGCGGAGAGCCUUGCGUCCUAUUAGCUAGUUGGUGAGGUAAUGGCUCACCAAGGCGAAGAUAGGUAGCCGGCCUGAGAGGGUGGACGGCCACAAGGGGACUGAGAUACGGCCCUUACUCCUACGGGAGGCAGCAGUGGGGAAUAUUGGACAAUGGGGGCAACCCUGAUCCAGCAAUUCUGUGUGCACGAAGAAGGUUUUCGGAUUGUAAAGUGCUUUCAGCAGGGAAGAAGUAAGUGACGGUACCUGCAGAAGAAGCGACGGCUAAAUACGUG
rnacentral:rRNA from 1 species